rnacentral:rRNA from 1 species
GACGAACGCUGGCGGCGUGCUUAACACAUGCAAGUCGAGCGGUAAGGCCCUUUCGGGGUACGACGAGCGGCGAACGGGUGAGUAACACGUGGGUGACCUGCCCUCAGUUCUGGGAUAAGCCUGGGAAACCGGGUCUAAUACUGGAUAUGACCUCAUGACGCAUGUUGUGAGGUGGAAAGCCUUGUGCGACUGAGGAUGGGCCCGCGGCCUAUCAGCUUGUUGGUGGGGUGAUGGCCUACCAAGGCGACGACGGGUAGCCGGCCUGAGAGGGCGACCGGCCACACUGGGACUGAGACACGGCCCAGACUCCUACGGGAGGCAGCAGUGGGGAAUCUUGCGCAAUGGGCGAAAGCCUGACGCAGCGACGCCGCGUGAGGGAUGACGGCCUGGUGUAA